rnacentral:rRNA from 1 species
GACGAACGCUGGCGGCGUGCUUAACACAUGCAAGUCGAACGGAAAGGCCCCUUUGGGGGUUCUCUAGUGGCGAACGGGUGAGUAACACGUGAGUAACCUGCCCUUGACUUCGGGAUAACUUCAGGAAACUGGGGCUAAUACCGGAUAGGAAUCCUUGCUGCAUGGGGGGGGUUGGAAAGCUUCGGCGGUUUUGGAUGGGUUGGCGGCUUAUCUGCUUGCUGGUGGGGUAGUGGCUUACCAAGGCGUUGACGGGUAGCCGGCCUGAGAGGGCGAGCGGCGACAUUGGGACUGAGGUACGGCACAGACUCCUACGGGAGGCAGCAGUGGGGAAUAUUGCACAAUGGGCGGAAGCCGGAUGCAGCAACGCCGCGUGCGGGAUGACGGCCUUCGGGUUGUAAACCGCUUUCAGCAGGGGCGAAGCUUGUGGUGACGGUACCUGCAGAAGAAGCACCGGCUAACUACGUG